AUUGAACGCUGGCGGCAUGCUUUACACAUGCAAGUCGAACGGCAGCGCGGGCUUCGGUCUGGCGGCGAGUGGCGAACGGGUGGGUAAUACAUCGGAACGUGCCCAGUAGUGGGGGAUAGCUCGGCGAAAGCCGGAUUAAUACCGCAUACGACCUGAGGGUGAAAGCGGGGGAUCUUCGGACCUCGCGCUAUUGGAGCGGCCGAUGGCAGAUUAGCUAGUUGGUGGGGUAAAGGCCUACCAAGGCGACGAUCUGUAGCUGGUCUGAGAGGACGACCAGCCACACUGGGACUGAGACACGGCCCAGACUCCUACGGGAGGCAGCAGUGGGGAAUUUUGGACAAUGGGCGAAAGCCUGAUCCAGCAAUGCCGCGUGUGUGAUGAAGGCCUUCGGGUUGUAAAGCACUUUUGGCGGGAACGAAAAGGACUGUGCCAAUACCACGGUUCGAUGACGGUACCCGCAGAAUAAGCACCGGCUAACUACGUG
rnacentral:rRNA from 1 species